rnacentral:lncRNA from 1 species
GAAUUGGCAUCGACACUGUUCCCGGAGAGGAACUGCUUGUUUCCGGCGUCGUAGUAGCUGUCGCCAAACACGAAGAGCGUUUGAGCGAGUGAGGCGGUGGGAUAGUGGAGUAGAGCUAGCGUAGUGAGUAGUAAACAUGAGAUAGAGAAGAGACGCCAAUUCAGAUCCGCCAUUGGAGAGAGCGAAGAGUGGACGCGUCUGAGAGAAGGGACCUGAGGAGUGAGGGUUAGAAUUCUCGGGGAAAAAGAGUAAAGGGACAAGUAUUUUUCGGUCGGUAGUUACAAAAUUGAUUAUUUGAUUAUUUAUCUUGUUACAAAUGAGAAAGGGAUCAAAACAUUCAAUUAAUUUCUGCUUACUUCCAUUAUAGUUUUUUUUUUUUUUUUUUUUUGACAUUUUUUUAUCGACAAGGUCCGAUCCAUAGUUAAUCUCUACUACGCCGGGUAACACGACUUAGUGGAGUCGAACUCCGGUGAAAAGACAGAGUCAAAUAAAUUUAACCACUUGACUAAAUAUACAUCCCCCAGUUAUAGUUCUAGAAAGUAUACAUAAACAUUUAUUUCUUUAAAUUUUGCUCUCUAUACUUUAGUCAUUUUAUUCUCCAUUCAUGCUUCAAACCCGGUCACAGAAAAAUCAUUUCUACGUUACUUAAUUCCAUCUCUUAAACACUUUUUCUUUUGCUCCUUUUGUCUUUAUAAUCAUCAGACACCAUAGACACUUUCUUUUCGAUCUGGUGUGAACUAAACACUCUUAUUCACCUAUUUUUCCAACAUUUUUUUUUACCUUUUUCAUGACUCAUGACUUCUUAGUCUUUCUCUCUAUUAUCUUUUAUUUAUGAUUUACAUAUUGGAGCGUCGAGAAACACUUCCAUCGUUAUUUCUCAAAAAACUGAUAUAAAUACUAUAAUUGCAUGGUUAAAUCGUAAAUACUAUAAUUGAAUCGUUAACACACCAAAUUUUAAAAUUUUCAAAAGUCUUAAACCCCAUGCCCAAUCGUUUGAAUUAAAAAUUCAAGUAAUUAACAAUUGUAAUAAUUUUUGGAAACAUAAAUAUUAACUACCAUAUAUACUCACAUGUAACAAAGUGAAUAAUUUCGUAACCACGAAGUUUUUUAUAUUCUCGAGAACAAGUUUGUGGAAGUUGUAGAAUUGUUAGAUAUCUCUAUUUAAGUAUACAAUGACUAAUUAUGUAUAAAAUUAAACUCUUCUCCGUUCUUUUAUAAGUGAUGUGUUAGGAAAAUGCACAUAUAUUAAAAAAUUAUUUAAUUUUUGUUUAUUUAUAAACUAAAACAUCAUUUAUUAUCUAAUAAACCAAAAAAUAAUCUACAUAAUAAAAAUCGUUAAAACCAAUAAAAAGUAAUUAAUUUUGCUUUGAAAAUUAAAAACAUCAUUUAUUUAAGAACAAAAUUAAAAGCUUAAAACAUCACUUAUAAAAUAACGGAGAGAGUAUAAAGGUUUAAGUUGAAACACUGAUGAUAGAACCUUCAUCCAAAAAACCGGUUAAUUAAAGAAAAAAAAAAGCAGAAUAGAAUUGAAAAAUCCUGAGUUCCAAUCUUCUUAUGCUAGAGGCUUCUAUGGAAAUGGCCACCACACCAUAAAUCUACGAUAAGAUUUUUCCUCAAAAUUGUAGCCACGUGUUUUUUAGCCACGUGUUUUUUAGGAAACAAACCAAUAAUCACAUGGGACCCAUGGGCUUUUAUUCACAAACUUAUUAGUACAAGGACCAUUUUUUUGUGUGGAAGGACCUGUGGAGUUAGGGUUAGAAUUCUCGGAAAAAGAGUAAAAUGGCAAGUUUUUUUAGUGGAGUAGAGCUAGCGUAGGCGGUGGGAUAGUGGAGUAGAGCUAGCGUAGUGAGUAGUAAACAUGAGCUAGAGAAGAGACGCCAAUUCGGAUCCGCCAUUGGAGAGAGCGAAGAGUGGACGCGUCUGAGAGAAGGGACCUGAGGAGUGAGGGUUAGAAUUCUCGGGGAAAAAGAGUAAAGGGACAAGUUUUUUUUCGGUCGGUAGUUACAAAAUUGAUUAUUUGAUUAUUUAUCUUGUUACAAAUGAGAAAGG